rnacentral:rRNA from 1 species
CGUAGGGGGCGAGCGUUGUCCGGAUUUAUUGGGCGUAAAGAGCUCGUAGGCGGCUUGGCAAGUCGGGUGUGAAACCUCCAGGCUCAACCUGGAGACGCCACUCGAUACUGCUAUGGCUAGAGUCCGGUAGGGGACCACGGAAUUCCUGGUGUAGCGGUGAAAUGCGCAGAUAUCAGGAGGAACACCGGUGGCGAAGGCGGUGGUCUGGGCCGGCACUGACGCUGAGGAGCGAAAGCGUGGGUAGCAAACAGGAUUAGAUACCCUGGUAGUCCACGCCGUAAACGUUGGGCACUAGGUGUGGGGCCUUAUCAGCGGGUUCCGUGCCGUAGCUAACGCAUUAAGUGCCCCGCCUGGGGAGUACGGCCGCAAGGCU